UGGCGACCGGCGCACGGGUGAGUAACACGUAUCCAACCUGCCGAUGACUCGGGGAUAGCCUUUCGAAAGAAAGAUUAAUACCCGAUGGCAUAGUUCUUCCGCAUGGUAGAACUAUUAAAGAAUUUCGGUCAUCGAUGGGGAUGCGUUCCAUUAGGUUGUUGGCGGGGUAACGGCCCACCAAGCCUUCGAUGGAUAGGGGUUCUGAGAGGAAGGUCCCCCACACUGGAACUGAGACACGGUCCAG
rnacentral:rRNA from 1 species